AUGUUCACUUUGGCAGCACAUAUACUAAAAUUGUAAUGAUACAGAGAUUAGCAUAGCCCCUGCACCAGGAUGAGACACAAAUUCAUGAAGCGUUCUGAAAGAGA
ensembl:snRNA U6 U6 spliceosomal RNA